rnacentral:rRNA from 1 species
UGGGGAAUUUUGGACAAUGGGGGAAACCCUGAUCCAGCCAUCCCGCGUGUGCGAUGAAGGCCUUCGGGUUGUAAAGCACUUUUGGCAGGAAAGAAACGUCAUGGGUUAAUACCCCGUGAAACUGACGGUACCUGCAGAAUAAGCACCGGCUAACUACGUGCCAGCAGCCGCGGUAAUACGUAGGGUGCAAGCGUUAAUCGGAAUUACUGGGCGUAAAGCGUGCGCAGGCGGUUCGGAAAGAAAGAUGUGAAAUCCCAGAGCUCAACUUUGGAACUGCAUUUUUAACUACCGGGCUAGAGUGUGUCAGAGGGAGGUGGAAUUCCGCGUGUAGCAGUGAAAUGCGUAGAUAUGCGGAGGAACACCGAUGGCGAAGGCAGCCUCCUGGGAUAACACUGACGCUCAUGCACGAAAGCGUGGUGAGCAAACAGG